rnacentral:misc_RNA from 1 species
UAGUUGCUAGUGUAUCAGUUACCUUUAAGUUGAUGAGGAGGGAGUUUCAUUUCUUAUCAAUAAAGACGUAAUUCUGCUGGAGAGGAGAAUACUAUAGCCGAUGUGUGCCGUUUGGAAAAAGAAUUUAAUCUCAGUAGAGAGUAAAUUGAGUACCUUAUCAUAAAUGCUAAAAAAAAAGUAUCCUCAUCAUUUUCAGAGACUAUUACCAAUCCAGAU